rnacentral:tRNA from 1 species
GCGCCGUUAGCUCAGCUGGUAGAGCAGAUCCCUAUUAUGGAGACUGUCGGGGGUUCAACUCCCUCACGGCGCUCCA